rnacentral:misc_RNA from 1 species
AACGCACAUUGCGCCCUCCGGUAUUCCGGAGGGCAUGCCUGUUCGAGCGUCAUUUCAACCCUCAAGCAUUGCUUGGUGUUGGGGCACUGCCUGUAAAAGGGCAGGCCCUGAAAUUCAGCGGCGAGCUCGCCAGGACCCCGAGCGCAGUAGUUAAACCCUCGCUUUGGAAGGCCCUGGCGGUGCCCUGCCGUUAAACCCCCCAACUUCUGAAAAUUUGACCUCGGAUCAGGUAGGAAUACCCGCUGAACUUAA